UCUGUUCCUCUCUUCCUCAAGUACUGGUAAAUGACCUGUUCUCACUUCAGAAAUCUAACACCCUUUCCCCGGCCUUUCCUUCUUUGUCCAAAAUGUCAUAUAUACUCAAUGUUGCCUCACUGUCUUCGGAAUUUUCAUGCAUAUGUGAAUUCUCCAUGUGCAUGUAUUAAAAUUGGUUUUCUCCUGUUAAUCUGUCUCUGUUAACUUAUUACUCCAGCUAGAGGAACUUCGAAGGUGGGAGGAGAAGUAUUAAUUUUUUUUUUAGCCCCCACAAUAGGAUAGGAAUAAUAUUUCCUUCAUCAUGGUAAGUUUUAAAACAAUUGUUUAGACUGACCUCAGAGGUCUGUUCCUUUAAUCUAUGAAACAGUGAUUCUACCAUGUGGAAAAUAUUACUAAAAUCAAAUGUUAGCGUUUUUAUUAAACCAAUGAUGGAAUAGUAUACAGAGCUAUGAAACGUUCCUGUGAGAUGUGAGGUAGGUGCAUAAUUUGUACAUAAGCAUCAGAGAGUCACCACAUUGCCUGGCGAAGAAUUUCUAACGCUGUCAGUAAAAAGUCAGCUUUAAGUGUUGCUGUCAUAAUCACAGUGUUAUGAGCCAAAGGAGAUUUUUUUUUUAAAAGAGAAGAGAGUUUCGGUGAUUAGAACCUAUUACGCAAGCCUAAGAGAAGAUACUUCAGUAUCAUCAAGCUCCAGUGAAGUGAUGAAGACUUUUAUGAAGUCACUAGUACUUGAAGGAAGACAUUUUUACAUUGUAGGAAACUUUGGGUCUUCUCACAGUCUGAUUAAAUAGGGCAAAGAACUACCCAGCAUUGGGAGAGCUGAGGGCCCCCAACAGGCAGUCCGACAUUCACAGAGAUUUCUAGUUGGCUUGGCUCAAAGACUGCAUACGCUGACUGUGGAAUGGAAUGUUGAUUUUAAUAGAUCAUCUUCAACCUGUUUUACCUCUGAGUCACAAUGGCUCAAGAAAAAUAAAGAACGUGAAGCUCCUGAUAACCUGCCACCGUUUUUGGCUACAGGAUCUGUCUAUGACCUGGUCCAGUAUCUCCUAGUUCAUAGAUCUGUGCACUAUGGUCCCAGACUUCCAGUUUCCAACGUGGGAUUGUAAUUAGUCUGAUGAAGCUACAAGACGACAACAGCAUUGGGACACUGCCUGCAGUGCUUUCUGAUGAGCCGGUGACACGGCGUAUGUUAAUAAGCCCAGGGUUUGCCAACACUGUCCUAUGGAUCCGGAACAAGCAGAAUUCUCUUUGCCUUCAGGGCACUAGAAGUGUGGCGUGUGCGGAAACGCCGUUAUUCGAGCUAAUGAACUGGGGAGGAAAAACAUCCACCAGAAACCCGAGGCAAACAGUUUCCUUCCUUCUCAAAGCAAGCCUUCAGGAAUGAUGCGUUUCAUCCACGAUGAGGGUGCUUCCUUCAUCUCAAACUGUGUAUGUAAGCUGGUGUUGACUGAGUGACGGGGUGGGUCAGUAGACAAGGAGGGGCAGAGGCAGAUGAGGAAUGGCAGUUAGCUCUCUGCUCCACGACAAGCUGCUGUGGAAAACAGGCAGUAGGAGGGGCUUAUCCCCACGGGCACCUCAAGACUUUGUGAACCCCCACCCCCCACCCAAACUCGUGCUUUGCAGACCUCCCUCCACGGCCCAUCAAACAGACUGGGCAUGAAAUGGUGCCCACAAAUUGAGCUCUCAUGGUCUGAUUUGGGGUCCUGGCCUCCUAACCACUUCCUCAGUAUUCUUUGUUCAGAACGCUACACAAAUGGACUUACGGAGGCCCAGGUAAUCUCGCUUUUUCCCAAUUAUUCGUGUGAUUUAGGCAAAAUUGCAUAUUUUUUAAUUAAUUAAUUUAUUUUUGUAUGAAUUGCUUAAAUUGCAGGCAAGGAACCAAUCCAAGGUCUAUUUGCUAGAAGCCUCUCUAGGUUAGCUGAGCUUACCAUUCUCAUUUCAAUAUGAAAACUAUCAUUACAACUACUUCUCUUUGAACUCAGAAUGGAGAAGCCUGAAAAUUUGACAGUUGGUGGCAAUUUAUGUAACUUGUUCUAUUACUGUUGGCAGAAUGUGGGAAAACAUAGGAGUGAGAAUCUGAAUCGGUAAUAUAUAGACACACACAUAUACAUAUAUAUUUAUAUAAUUUUUUAACAGCAGUCAAAGACAGAAAUGGCAGAGUGUUGACACUGCAGAGGGACUCAGGGACCAUUCACUGCAUGAGGCUUUCCACCCAGAGAGACUUACUUUUUUGCCAUUAGUUACUAAUUAGUUUCUGACUGUCAAGGUGUCCCAGGAAGCACCCGCGUCCCACCCUCACUCCUCUCUGCCUUUCACCCACUCCCUUGGCCUUGGUGUCAGGGGAACACUCCCCUCACCAGCCUCCCAUGGCCUGCUGAGCCCUGUGUCUGCUCACACUGUCCCCUCCGAAAUUCCUCUCCCUUGGCUGGCGACUCACACUUUCCAGCAAGUUCUAAGUCCUGCUCCCAUCCACCUCGGGUAGGCUUCCAGUGGGGGCUGGCCCACCUCUGAACUCUGCGCUGCUGAGUCUGUGGCUUGCCCUCCCCGUGCCACAAAGACACCAUCUGUCUGCUCCCACAGACCGGUGCUCCUUAGUUAUCAAGGAGUAGAAACAGCAACUAACAUUUGUGAUAUGAUUUGGGUUCAUCGGGCCUUUGCAUGCAUUUGACCCUCAGAGAGACCCUCGAGGAGGUUCAGAUCCCAACUGACACACAUGAAAACAGAAAUAGAACUGGUCCCACAUGACAGGUGACGUGGUAGAGCUGAGGCUGGGCGUCCGUGUGACAAGCUCCGGGGAGCUGCAUCCCCCAGAGUAUGAGGCCUUGGCUUCCUCCUCUCUGUCUCUGCCAAGGACCUGUGACCCUGGGGAAAUACUGGGCAGGAGGGAGGUAAGAAGUCGGGGCGUGACCUGGGUGGUCUACCCCAUCCCAUGCCCGAAGGCCAUGAGGGGGGCCUCUUUCUACAGCUAGGUCCCCGCUACAGGGCCAAGGGGGGCUCUUCUCGGCCCCACAGUUCUGUUCUUAGAGGGAUUGGGACAUACGUGUAUACCUGUGGACGGCAGGACUAAGAAAG